CGGGGACUGUGGAGCCGAUGGGGCUUUGCCCUGGCCGGCUCUGGGGGCCACGCAGAGCCGCUGUCUCUGGGCCCUGCACACAGGCCUGCUCUCCUUCCUCUGCCCCUCAAGCCUCUGUCGCUCCCUUCUGGCCUUGUGUGGUAAGUAGUCCUGUCCAGAGCCGAUCCUGUCGUUCUUUUCUGCCCUCUCUCACUGACUUUUCCUUUUCUCCAGGUCAAAAACCACGAAACCGCUGGUCUUCUAGAGAACGCUUUCAUUUCCUUCUUCUGAGAAUGAGAGUAGAAACGAGAGAAGAGAUGCAGAAGCCUUUGGGGUGAAAUUUCGUUCUCUACCCAUUACGCUGCACCUCAUGGCCCUCACAGGUGAAGAAUCUUAGGUCCACAGCAAAAAGUGAUUCAAGCAAGGAAGCUGCUGUCUCUCAGGAUCUCAUUUGCUGACAGGCAUGACCUUCCCAGUGGGACCUGAGCGGAUGAGAGAGAAGAG
rnacentral:lncRNA from 1 species